ensembl:lncRNA
GAUCUCUGCCUCUUUAGGCAUAAAACAUGGAUAAAAGCUGAAACUUGUGAAGCUAGACAGAUCUUAAAGGACAUUCAAUAGGACUUCUACAGUGUUCAUGACAGAAGCUGAAAAGUCAGUAGUGAAUGCAGGAAAGGCUUCCAAAGGAGAAAAGAACAGCCAUGGCUUCAGUACCCUCCGCCGGAUGCCUCCUGGCCAAGAACCAGUAUUACCGCACAAGGCAGAACUCGGAAUCCAGCGUUUCUUCCAGCUCCUCCUGCUGUUCCGAUCCUGUGAGCGGUGCAGAACAGGACAAAGCAUUUCAUGCAGGGUUGCCUGAAUUACUCGACAAACGCUGGUGGAUAAAAAGCUUUUUCCAUUGUGAACCAUCUCCACCAACUUUUGGCAGAAAAACACUGUCAGCAAGCAGUACCAACAGCUGAAUAUGAAAGCAAGCUGGACUACUGUCUGAGAUACUGCUCACGGACUUAUUUUUUCAAGAGGCUUGGGAUCUUCUGAGUGUCUGGGUUCAGUUGCAAGAAGAAAACAAAACCUUAAGGAGGGAAGAAAGGUGUACUUUCAAAAGAUGUCAGUAGCUUAAAAACUGCUGUAUAAGGGACAUGUCCAUGGUUUACUGUCUUCAUUAUGGAGUUGCUAUAAUUUUAGAUGACUCUAAUGAAAGUUACUUGGAUUAAAUAUCCUGAUGACUUAUUUGGAUACUUAAGAAAAAAAAGAAAAAAAAAGACAGUAAGAUAGUAUAGGUUUAAAAGUAUGUGUAUGGAAUGGCUUCGCUAUAGGUGAAUACUUACCUGAAGUUUUACCUGUUAAGAUAUCAGCUCUGUAGACCUUCACUGCUGUAAAUGCAUCACAAACAGAUCAGUCCUACACUACUGUACUGUGUACAUAUUCUACCAACUCUUCUGUGUCAGUUACAGGCAUCAGAAUUCACAAGGAUGCUUGCUAAUAGCUUUGCUUUCAGAAAGCCCAGUUACAUGGAGAAGGAAUAAUCUGUUUGCUGUUAUCCAGCUAGGUAUGUAGAUACCAACCACAAAUACAUAGAUACACUUUUCAUUCACAUCUGUGCGUGUUCAUACUUGAGGACAGAACAGCAGAGAGGUAAUCAUAAUGGACAUUGACAUCUUCCAAGCAGAUGAGUAAUCUCAAUCAGGGUUGAUAUUCACAAAUCUGUUUUACUUUCAAAUUACUCUCACCUUCUUUGCUGCAUUUGAAAGACCUGCUUGUUCUCAAGUGACUAAUCCUAUCAGCAUUAAUUGCUGUCCAUCAGUUUCAUUUGUAAGGUGUAAGAGCUGGCAAAGUAUUCAACUCAAAGUGAUAACACUAGUGCUAAUAACAAAGUCUGUCUUUGUCAGGAUACAUGCUAUUGAAAUACACUGUAGUAUGUUUUCAUUUGGUCUUCAGCAUUGCAAAGCAGUAGGUGAUUGUUUGUUCUACAAAAUGGACCAAAGGUCAUAGAAAAUAACAUAUUUGGCUGGAAUGACAUUGCUUCUGUGUGUUUAUCUAUGCAAUUUUAUUUUAAUCUACCAUCACUAAAUCUACCUGGCCUUUGCCCAACACUGGAUGAAGCAACAAUAGUAAACAUUAUCAAUGUAAGUGUAAAUUUUUUUUAAAUUAUAGAUUAGUGGUUGUCAUGGUAAUGCUUAGAACUCUGAAGUGGAAGUGUAUCAAGUGACUGCUUUGGUUUUGGUGUAGGCAAUGAAUGUUUGCCCCAUGACAACAGAAAAGAAUGCAACGAUGGAAGCAUGGUUUCAGGAAUCCUCAAAUCCUCCUUGUUAUACCUUUUCCCCCUAUCACCACGGUGCAAUUUCAUCACUGUCCUUCUUCUAAGUAUACAGAAUGAACUAUUGUAUGUGAUUUUUUAAUGUUUUUGUUUGUUGUUUUGUUUGUUUUUUUUAAUAAAUAAAGAUUUAAUCAGUACUUAAUUUGGGCC